ensembl:lncRNA SH3TC2-DT SH3TC2 divergent transcript
GUUGACACUGUGGCUAAAUUUCAGAAAACCUCCCAUGAGAUCUUGCAAAGGAGAUGGAGAAAAUAUGGCUGAAUGCCAGCAAGCAAAUGUGCGCUGAGUGCCUCUCCAUGGAAGCCUGAGGGGAACCCAGCAGGGCGCAGAGCAAGCAACAUCCCUGCCCUCUACUGGCUGGAUGAGGGAGGACGAUGAGAUGCGGUGCCAUCCGUGCAUCUGGACAUUGCAAGGUGAGGAAUAGAAAAAGGUGCCCAGGAAAGCAGAAUGUGCCUACCACCCACAACAGAGAUAAAAUCUCAGUUCCAGCCAAGAAGUGUACACAGAAAUACCUCCAAGCAAAACCAGAUCUGCCUGUCCUCAGAGAUAAUCAGAAGGAUUCCUUUCAGUUGCCUCAGACCAAGAGCAGCCUGGCUACAUUUUUUGCCUCUUGCUUCUCAACUGGCUGGCAUUUUCAUAGACUUACAUUUUAAAAGGCUGUUUACUUAGGAACAAAAAAUGAAGUUACAUACUCAAUUAAUUUUAACUUUAUGAUAUUUGGC